rnacentral:lncRNA from 1 species
UGACAGUGACCCAAAGAAGAAAUUAAGUGUAUAUAUUAGCUGUUUGUGAAGUUUGGAGAAUUUAUUUAACCUGUUUCAUUCAAAAUGUCGUGGAAAUUAACAAACGUAUAUUCUGUAAUAGUGGCAACUGGAAUAUUUCUUAUGUUUCAAAAGGUGCACUCGAAUCAAAGAGUCCAAACAUAUUAUCUAUACUGGAACCAAACAAACU